rnacentral:rRNA from 2 species
CCCUGGUUGAUCCUGCCAGUAGUUAUAUGCUUGUCUCAAAGACUAAGCCAUGCAUGUCUCAGUGCAAGCCGUAUUAAGGCGAUACCGCGAAUGGCUCAAUAUAUCAGUUUUGGUUCCUUAGAUCUUACUCAGUUACUUGGAUAACUGUGGCAAUUCUAGAGCUAAUACAUGCAAUCAGAGCUCCGACCAGAGAUGGAAAGAGCGCUUUUAUUAGAUCAAAACCAAUCGACGGAGGUGGCGACACCGAUGUCGUUUAAUUUGAUGAAUCUGGAUAACUUUUGCCGAUCGCACGGUCUCGUACCGGCGACGCAUCUUUCAAAUGUCUGCCUUAUCAACUUUCGAUGGUAGUUUCUGCGACUACCAUGGUUGUCACGGGUAACGGGGAAUCAGGGUUCGAUUCCGGAGAGGGAGCCUGAGAAACGGCUACCACAUCCAAGGAAGGCAGCAGGCGCGCAAAUUACCCACUCCCGGCACGGGGAGGUAGUGACGAAAAAUAACGAUACGGGACUCAUAUGAGGCCUCGUAAUCGGAAUGAGUACACUUUAAAUAUUUUAACGAGGAACAAUUGGAGGGCAAGUCUGGUGCCAGCAGCCGCGGUAAUUCCAGCUCCAAUAGCGUAUACUAAAAUUGUUGCGGUUAAAAAGCUCGUAGUUGCAUUUGUGCGCCGCGCUGUCGGUGCACCGCAUCCGCGGUGAUACUGGCACGUUUGCGGAGCAUAUCGUCGGUGAGCUUCCGGUAAAACGGAAGUUCAAUAUCAAAAAUCCUAUCGCGGUGCUCUUCAGUGAGUGUCGAGGUGGGCCGACAAUUUUACUUUGAACAAAUUAGAGUGCUUAAAGCGGGCUCAAAAUGCUGCUUGAAUAUUUUUUGCAUGGAAUAAUAGAAUAUGAUCUCGGUUCUAUUUUGUUGGUUUUCGGACUCCGAGGUAAUGAUUAAUAGGGAUAACUGGGGGCAUUCGUAUUGCGACGUUAGAGGUGAAAUUCUUGGAUCGUCGCAAGACGGACAUCAGCGAAAGCAUUUGCCAAAGGUGUUUUCAUCAAUCAAGAACGAAAGUUAGAGGUUCGAAGGCGAUUAGAUACCGCCCUAGUUCUAACCAUAAAUGUUGCCACCUGGCGAUCCGCCGACGUUACUUCAAUGGCUCGGCGGGCAGCCUCCGGGAAACCAAAGUUUUUGGGCUCCGGGGGGAGUAUGGUUGCAAAGCUGAAACUUAAAGGAAUUGACGGAAGGGCACCACCAGGAGUGGAGCCUGCGGCUUAAUUUGACUCAACACGGGAAACCUCACCAGGCCCGGACACCGGAAGGAUUGACAGAUUAAUAGCUCUUUCUUGAUUCGGUGGGUGGUGGUGCAUGGCCGUUCUUAGUUGGUGGAGCGAUUUGUCUGGUUAAUUCCGGUAACGAACGAGACUCUAGCCUGCUAAAUAGGCGUCGUCAUCUCGGCGCGUCGGACUUGCGCCGGCGCGACUCACUGACGACGUAUUAAAAUUCUUCUUAGAGGGACCGGCGGCUUCGAGCCGCACGAGAUUGAGCAAUAACAGGUCUGUGAUGCCCUUAGAUGUCCUGGGCCGCACGCGCGCUACACUGAAGGAAUCAGCAUGUCAUCCCUGGCCUAAAGGCCCGGGAAACCCGCUGAAACUCCUUCGUGCUGGGGAUUGGGGUUUGCAAUUAUCCCCCAUAAACGAGGAAUUCCUAGUAAGCGCGAGUCAUAAGCUCGCGUUGAUUACGUCCCUGCCCUUUGUACACACCGCCCGUCGCUACUACCGAUUGAAUGAUUUAGUGAGGUCUUCGGACCGACACGCGGUGGCUUCGCGGCCGUCGGCGUUGUUGGGAAGUCGACCAAACUUGAUCAUUUAGAGGAAGUAAAAGUCGUAACAAGGUUUCCGUAGGGGAACCUGCGGAAG